rnacentral:rRNA from 1 species
AUACAUGCAAGUCGAGCGGACAGAUGGGAGCUUGCUCCCUGAUGUUAGCGGCGGACGGGUGAGUAACACGUGGGUAACCUGCCUGUAAGACUGGGAUAACUCCGGGAAACCGGGGCUAAUACCGGAUGCUUGUUUGAACCGCAUGGUUCAAACAUAAAAGGUGGCUUCGGCUACCACUUACAGAUGGACCCGCGGCGCAUUAGCUAGUUGGUGAGGUAACGGCUCACCAAGGCAACGAUGCGUAGCCGACCUGAGAGGGUGAUCGGCCACACUGGGACUGAGACACGGCCCAGACUCCUACGGGAGGCAGCAGUAGGGAAUCUUCCGCAAUGGACGAAAGUCUGACGGAGCAACGCCGCGUGAGUGAUGAAGGUUUUCGGAUCGUAAAGCUCUGUUGUUAGGGAAGAACAAGUGCCGUUCAAAUAGGGCGGCACCUUGACGGUACCUAACCAGAAAGCCACGGCUAACUACGUGCCAGCAGCCGCGGUAAUACGUAGGUGGCAAGCGUUGUCCGGAAUUAUUGGGCGUAAAGGGCUCGCAGGCGGUUUCUUAAGUCUGAUGUGAAAGCCCCCGGCUCAACCGGGGAGGGUCAUUGGAAACUGGG